CCAAUAGCGUAUAUUAAAGUUGUUGCAGUUAAAAAGCUCGUAGUUGAAUUUCGGGAUUCUUCCGUUGGUCAGGCUAACAAGUCUGUACUAGCGUGUAGAAUCUCUACCUUCUGGGGAACCAUCAUGUUAUUUAUUUAGCGUGGUGGGAAACCAGGACCUUUACCUUGAAAAAAUUAGAGUGUUCAAAGCAGGCUUACGUCUGAAUACAUUAGCAUGGAAUAAUAAAAUAGGACGGUGGUCCUGUUUUGUUGGUUUCUGAAUCACCGUAAUGAUUAAUAGGGAUAGUUGGGGGCAUUAGUAUUCAAUUGUCAGAGGUGAAAUUCUUGGAUUUAUUGAAGACUAACUUCUGCGAAAGCAUUUGCCAAGGAUGUUUUCAUUAAUCAAGAACGAAAGUUAGGGGAUCGAAGACGAUCAGAUACCGUCGUAGUCUUAACCAUAAACUAUGCCGACUAGGGAUCGGACGAUGUUAAAUUUUAUUGACUCGUUCGGCGCCUUACG
rnacentral:rRNA from 1 species